AGCAGUGUAGCACAGUGGUAAGGAGCAGGUCUCCUAAUCGUGAGAUUGCUAGUCCAAUUCUGGGGCACUGCUG